rnacentral:rRNA from 1 species
GACGAACGCUGGCGGCGUGCUUAACACAUGCAAGUCGAACGGAAAGGCCCUGCUUUUGUGGGGUGCUCGAGUGGCGAACGGGUGAGUAACACGUGAGUAACCUGCCCUUGACUUUGGGAUAACUUCAGGAAACUGGGGCUAAUACCGGAUAGGAGCUCCUGCUGCAUGGUGGGGGUUGGAAAGUUUCGGCGGUUGGGGAUGGACUCGCGGCUUAUCAGCUUGUUGGUGGGGUAGUGGCUUACCAAGGUUUUGACGGGUAGCCGGCCUGAGAGGGUGACCGGCCACAUUAGGACUGAGCUACGGCCCAGACUCCUACGGGAGGCAGCAGUGGGGAAUAUUGCACAAUGGGCGGAAGCCUGAUGCAGCAACGCCGCGUGCGGGAUGACGGCCUUCGGGUUGUAAACCGCUUUCGCCUGUGACGAAGCGUGAGUGACGGUAAUGGGUAAAGAAGCACCGGCUAACUACGUG